CUUGCUUCUCUUGAGAGCGGCGGACGGGUGAGUAAUGCCUAGGAAUCUGCCUGGUAGUGGGGGAUAACGUUCGGAAACGGACGCUAAUACCGCAUACGUCCUACGGGAGAAAGCAGGGGACCUUCGGGCCUUGCGCUAUCAGAUGAGCCUAGGUCGGAUUAGCUAGUUGGUGGGGUAAUGGCUCACCAAGGCUACGAUCCGUAACUGGUCUGAGAGGAUGAUCAGUCACACUGGAACUGAGACACGGUCCAGACUCCUACGGGAGGCAGCAGUGGGGAAUAUUGGACAAUGGGCGAAAGCCUGAUCCAGCCAUGCCGCGUGUGUGAAGAAGGUCUUCGGAUUGUAAAGCACUUUAAGUUGGGAGGAAGGGUUGUAGAUUAAUACUCUGCAAUUUUGACGUUACCGACAGAAUAAGCACCGGCUAACUCUGUGCCAGCAGCCGCGGUAAUACAGAGGGUGCAAGCGUUAAUCGGAAUUACUGGGCGUAAAGCGCGCGUAGGUGGUUUGUUAAGUUGGAUGUGAAAUCCCCGGGCUCAACCUGGGAACUGCAUUCAAAACUGACUGACUAGAGUAUGGUAGAGGGUGGUGGAAUUUCCUGUGUAGCGGUGAA
rnacentral:rRNA from 1 species